UUUUACAUGCAUUUUUGGCUCUGAAUCCCCACCUUCAAACCUCACUCCUAACCUAGUUUUAUUUGUUGCUUGAGGACAAGCAAAGAGCUAAGUUUGGGGGUGUUGAUAACACUAGAUUUUAACCAUUUUAAGCCCUUGUUUCAUGCAUUUAGCUUAGUUUCAUGUCUCUUUUCAUGCAUUCUUAGUCCAUUUUCCUUCCUUUUCACAUUUUGCAUUGCAUUGCAUAGCAUACUUGCAUUUGGAGUGUUUUACAGGUGAAACCAGCACUUUUGGACUCGAUUGGGAGUGUUUCUAGCACAAGGGAUGGAAGAGCUCAAGUUGUGCGAUCAAAGGAAGGACAUGGAGUUUACUUGGGGUUUCUACUCGGCUGGAGAUCGAGUGGAGCACACAAGGGGGAAGCAAGGACUAUACUCGGCCAAGACACUCGGCUGGAGCUCGAGUGGUGCACAUGAUGAAGAAGGGAAGCUGCUCGAUUGAAGCUACUCAGCCUGGACCCGAGUGAUGUGCCCAAAGGAGGCUACUCGACUUUCCUACUCUGCCUAGACCCCAGUGGUGCUGCGCCGACUUUCCUAUUUUGUCUUUUUCCUAAUUAGGGCAUCCUAAUAUUGCCUAUAAAUAAACCUCUUAUGUUUUUGCCUAAAAUAUCUUUGCUGUGUUUGCUGGAUAUUAGGGUUCUUAUAUUUGUUUUGCAUUUUCUGGUUGUUGUGUUGAGAAUUUGGAUUUAAUUUCUUCUACAAACUUGUUUAUCUUAUUGAGAUCUAUCAUUUGCUAAGUAUAUAAUGAUUUCUGGGUUUUAUGAUUUUUCUGAGUUUUGUUUUAUCAUGUUCUUCAUUGUUCUUGAGUAGUUUUCUUCAGAGUUCUUGAGGAUGGGUUAGGUUUAGGUGGAUUUCUCUGUUCUUUAGCUAGCUAAGUUUAUAAAUGCAUGAUUCCCUUUUGUUUUAGAAGUUCUUAAUGCUAUUUUCUUUCUA
rnacentral:sRNA from 1 species